AUUUGCCUAUUCCCUGAGACCCUAACUUGUGAUGUUAAAUGGACUCUCACAAGCUAGCGACUCGGGUAUUGGCGGAU